GCUUCGAUAGCUCAGUGGUAGAGCGAGAGAUUGCAGUUUUCCAUUGCUCAAAUAUCUCUAGGUCACGUGUUCGAACCACGUUCGGAGCU
rnacentral:tRNA from 1 species